AUGAACGCUAGCUACAGGCUUAACACAUGCAAGUCGAGGGGCAUCAGGAAGAAAGCUUGCUUUCUUUGCUGGCGACCGGCGCACGGGUGAGUAACACGUAUCCAACCUGCCCUUUACUCGGGGAUAGCCUUUCGAAAGAAAGAUUAAUACCCGAUAGCAUAAUGAUUCCGCAUGGUUUCAUUAUUAAAGGAUUCCGGUAAAGGAUGGGGAUGCGUUCCAUUAGGUUGUUGGUGAGGUAACGGCCCACCAAGCCUUCGAUGGAUAGGGGUUCUGAGAGGAAGGUCCCCCACAUUGGAACUGAGACACGGUCCAAACUCCUACGGGAGGCAGCAGUGAGGAAUAUUGGUCAAUGGGCGCUAGCCUGAACCAGCCAAGUAGCGUGAAGGAUGAAGGCUCUAUGGGUCGUAAACUUCUUUUAUAUAAGAAUAAAGUGCAGUAUGUAUACUGUUUUGUAUGUAUUAUAUGAAUAAGGAUCGGCUAACUCCGUGCCAGCAGCCGCGGUAAUACGGAGGAUCCGAGCGUUAUCCGGAUUUAUUGGGUUUAAAGGGAGCGUAGGUGGACUGGUAAGUCAGUUGUGAAAGUUUGCGGCUCAACCGUAAAAUUGCAGUUGAUACUGUCAGUCUUGAGUACAGUAGAGGUGGGCGGAAUUCGUGGUGUAGCGGUGAAAUGCUUAGAUAUCACGAAGAACUCCGAUUGCGAAGGCAGCUCACUGGACUGCAACUGACACUGAUGCUCGAAAGUGUGGGUAUCAAACAGGAUUAGAUACCCUGGUAGUCCACACAGUAAACGAUGAAUACUCGCUGUUUGCGAUAUACAGUAAGCGGCCAAGCGAAAGCAUUAAGUAUUCCACCUGGGGAGUACGCCGGCAACGGUGAAACUCAAAGGAAUUGACGGGGGCCCGCACAAGCGGAGGAACAUGUGGUUUAAUUCGAUGAUACGCGAGGAACCUUACCCGGGCUUAAAUUGCAGUGGAAUGAUGUGGAAACAUGUCAGUGAGCAAUCACCGCUGUGAAGGUGCUGCAUGGUUGUCGUCAGCUCGUGCCGUGAGGUGUCGGCUUAAGUGCCAUAACGAGCGCAACCCUUAUCUUUAGUUACUAACAGGUUAUGCUGAGGACUCUAGAGAGACUGCCGUCGUAAGAUGUGAGGAAGGUGGGGAUGACGUCAAAUCAGCACGGCCCUUACGUCCGGGGCUACACACGUGUUACAAUGGGGGGUACAGAAGGCAGCUAGCGGGUGACCGUAUGCUAAUCCCAAAAUCCUCUCUCAGUUCGGAUCGAAGUCUGCAACCCGACUUCGUGAAGCUGGAUUCGCUAGUAAUCGCGCAUCAGCCACGGCGCGGUGAAUACGUUCCCGGGCCUUGUACACACCGCCCGUCAAGCCAUGGGAGCCGGGGGUACCUGAAGUACGUAACCGCAAGGAUCGUCCUA
rnacentral:rRNA from 1 species